rnacentral:sRNA from 1 species
AUUCAGGGAUGAAGCAGGGAUGAAGCUUUUCCCACCAGACAGUACUUGGAGUCUCCAGUGUGUGUGUUGGGGUAGGGGGUUGGGGGCUUACCCUAGAGGCUGGGUCUCUGGACAGCCAAGGCCUGGGGGAGAGAGAGGUGGAGAAAGGGGAAGAAGGAGCCUGACUUUCCACUUCCAGGUGCUGCCUGGACCACUGACCUAGCCACUGGCCUAUUUAUACCCCCUGCAAGACAGAGCUAGAGCGUGCUGGCAGGAGUUUUUAAUGAGCUAGUAGCCUGAGCAUUCAGCAGCAAGACUAGUGCAAGCAGCCAGCGACGUGCCCCAGGACGGGCUGCUUCUGCACGGCCCCUUCGCACGCAAGCCCAAGCGGAUCCGCACGGCCUUCUCGCCCUCGCAGCUGCUGCGGCUGGAGCGCGCCUUCGAGAAGAACCACUACGUGGUGGGCGCCGAGCGGAAGCAGCUGGCCGGCAGUCUCAGCCUCUCCGAGACGCAGGUGAAGGUGUGGUUCCAGAACCGGAGGACAAAGUACAAACGGCAGAAGCUGGAGGAGGAAGGGCCUGAGUCCGAGCAGAAGAAGAAGGGCUCCCAUCACAUCAACCGGUGGCGCAUUGCCACGAAGCAGGCCAAUGGGGAGGACAUCGAUGUCACCUCCAAUGACUAGGGUGGGCAACCACAAACCCACGAGGGCAGAGUGCUGCUUGCUGCUGGCCAGGCCCCUGCGUGGGCCCAAGCUGGACUCUGGCCACUCCCUGGCCAGGCUUUGGGGAGGCCUGGAGUCAUGGCCCCAUAGGGCUUGAAGCCCGGGGCCGCCAUUGACAGAGGGACAAGCAAUGGGCUGGCUGAGGCCUGGGACCACUUGGCCUUCUCCUCGGAGAGCCUGCCUGCCUGGGCGGGCCCGCCCGCCACCGCAGCCUCCCAGCUGCUCUCCGUGUCUCCAAUCUCCCUUUUGUUUUGAUGCAUUUCUGUUUUAAUUUAUUUUCCAGGCACCAGUGUAGUUUAGUGAUCCCCAGUGUCUCCCUUCCCUAUGGGAAUAAUAAAAAUCUCUCUCUUAAUGACACGGGCAUCCAGCUC